UACAGAGGUCCCAAGCGUUGUUCGGAUUCAUUGGGCGUAAAGGGUGCGUAGGCGGCGCGGUAAGUCGGGUGUGAAAUCUCGGAGCUUAACUCCGAAACUGCAUUCGAUACUGCCGUGCUUGAGGACUGGAGAGGAGACUGGAAUUUACGGUGUAGCGGUGAAAUGCGUAGAUAUCGUAAGGAAGACCAGUGGCGAAGGCGGGUCCCUGGACAACUCCUGACACUGAUGCACGAAAGCUAGGGGAGCAAACAGG
rnacentral:rRNA from 1 species